GCCCCGGUAGCUCAGCUGGUAGAGCGACGGCUUGGUAAGCCGUAGGUCCCGGGUUCAAGUCCCGGCCGGGGCU
rnacentral:tRNA from 1 species